UUAAAAGACAAAGGCUAAAUCUAACAUUGUAAACAUUAAUGAGUUGCAAGAUAUUAAAAUACAUAUUCAAUGUAAUUUGUAUACAAGAUUUGAUUGGCGUAAACAAAUUACAUAACUGAAUGAAUGAACUAGAAAUGAAACGCACCGAACAUCUAAUGACAAACGUAUAGUCGGUAAGGAAAUUCCUAUCAAAAUGGAGGUAAGGGGAAGCCCUAAAAGGCAGAUCUAGGAAGGCAUAACUAAAGGACUUUUUGUAGUAAUUAGUUUUAAAUGUAUUAGACGAAUAAUGAACGAAAUCAUAGGAACAUGGAAACACACAGAACCGGGGAAGUAAAAAGAUGGGAACAGGAAUCUAAUAAUAGGUUUAACAACACUUCUUUAAUGGUAAAAGCUUUUGCUUCCACUCACUCCACGCGUCUAGUCGUUUGUUAUGAACAUCACGAAUUUCAUCAACACUACUCCACCCGGACUCAAUCAUGCGUCUCUCGGCCGCAUCAUAGGCAGAGUCGAGUUGAAGAAUCUCCUCAAGCAAGAGAUCGAUCUUCUUUAGCUUCUCAGCAGCAUCCAUGUUCUUGAUGUCGACCGGCGAAGCAUCCGUCUUGAUACUAGGAGGUUGCGAUGCACUAUAAAGAGGAUCAGGAGAAUUUGAAGUAGAAGGAUGAUUCAAAUGACUAGUGGAAACCGACAGUGGUGUUAAAUCAGCGGAGUCAAGGGACACCCCAGUAGUAGGGAUGCGUAAAGGUUGGUGGGCUUUUGACAAACGCACCAUACGAGACGAGGGGAGGAAACGUCGAAGCAUGCCAACCACCCGUUUAGAAGAAUUACAUAAAGGAGAGGAACUAUCGGAGGGCGUAUUAGAACCAUGCUUGGUAAAAGACCAUUUGGAUUUAGUAGAAGCAUUAGAUAAAGUGAAAUUUUGCGAAUCCAAAAUGGCGCACUGCCCUCCGAAGUCAGACGGAUUAAUAUCGUCCGUAUUUGAAUACUGUCUGGAUAUCGUAUCGUCCGAAAACAAAUUAUUGUUGUUGUGGUCGGACAAGAAUGAAGAAGGACUGGGAAUGACACCAGAGCUCUGAUCUAGAGAAAAAUCCCAUUCAUCAGGAGCUAACGGAGUUACCGGAGUGGUAACUGUAUGUAAAUCAUAAAGAGAUUGAGGCGAAAGGUCAGCAUCAAAACCUUUAGCAGGAGUGUGGAUGGCUAAAGGAGUGUCCAAGCUCAAACCAUCAGAACUGUUGUUGCGGUUCGAAUGGAAGAGCUCCUCAUCAAUAAAAGCACGAACCUUUCCAGAAAACAUUAUGUAAAAAGAAAAUUAAAAGGUGAGGACGAGCCUGUUGUAAUAUUGAAGGGGAAGAGAGGAGUGAUGCAGAGUGUUGGCAACAAGACGCAGCAGUAGGUUGUUUUAAACCAGCUGGUAGUGUUUAAAUGUUCAAAGCGGAAAAAAAGUAUUGUUCCAAGGCUUCUCCAAAACGGUCAACCGCGUAUCCUAAGAGUGAAACAAGUUGGGAAAAAAAGAAGAAAACAACAAAGGGUAUCAAUUUUAGGAGUAGCGGUGAGUGGAAAACUUUUCUUUUCCAGAAGAGGCAAUUGGCGCGUUCCCACUUGGAAUAUCACCUUUUUUAACGACUUUGCAACAAGUGUUAGGGUAUGUUGUUGACAGGUUUUUAUACAGUCCCCAACUGACAAGUUACGAAUAAUGUGCCUUAACGGGUUGAAAUUCAAGCUUAACGAGUAAUAACGGAUUACCCUUUUGGACGAAAUUUCAAAAUAACAAUUUGUGCACUGAUAGAACGAAGAGGAAAAUUAAGUAAUUUUCUUUGUUGCUUGCCGGUUUCGUAGAAAAAAGAGAAAAUUGGAACAAAGAACCUAGGGAGCUGAAUGAAUUAUAAGGAUGUGAUAAUGCUUGCCUAAGUAUGCUGAAAUGAUGAAAAAGACUGUGAAACCUGGAAAUCAAUUGCUCUGUUGACCAAAAAGUUAGAUAUUAAUUGGGAAACAUACAAACAAAGAUGAACGGGAUGUCCACUAAAGUAUUUAAUAAAAAGAAAAUGUCCAUUUCGAGAAAGGAAGGAGAAUCGGCUGUUUCCGGGGAAAAACGAGAGUAUAACAAUUAUAAGAUUUAGUACAACUUUUCAGCACGUCUAGCUCAUUCUAUGAUUUGGUCAAAAACAAUAUAGGAGUUAUGGUUAAAAAUACAGCGAUUCUACAAAACGCAGUAAAGAGUCACAAACGACAAAAAGAUGAAGUGGACAUGGGCUCAUGCAAUGAAAAUUUUCGAUUUUAUUAGUAGAGAUGUUUGCGCUAUGCCAUCAAUGGCACUAAUUUUGCUUUAAAAACAUUGUUAGCGACUUGAGGAGGGCUCCCUCAUUGAAGGAUCAAAAAUGUACAAACCUCUCAAGUAGAUAAGCCGAAUCGGUAGUGCAGAUGUAAAGAUUUACAUUAAAAACAUUAAUGA
rnacentral:lncRNA from 1 species